rnacentral:rRNA from 1 species
UACGUAGGGUGCAAGCGUUGUCCGGAAAGUUAUUGGGCGUAAAGAGCUCGUAGGCGGUUUGUCGCGUCUGCUGUGAAAACUGGAGGCUCAACCUCCAGCCUGCAGUGGGUACGGGCAAACUAGAGUGCGGUAGGGGAGAUUGGAAUUCCUGGUGUAGCGGUGGAAAUGCGCAGAUAUCGAGGAGGAACACCGAUGGCGAAGGCGGGUCUCUGGGCAGUAACUGACGCUGAGGAGCGAAAGCGUGGGGAGCGAACAGG